AUCAGGAGCUUCGCCAGGCACUAGAUUCAAGGGGAGUAAACUUUUAUUUGUGGGUUAUACACUACACAUUUAGAGGGGGACCUUUCCAUAGUACCCAGUAAGGCACAUUACACCACAAACCCCCCGUUCUCCAAAGGGUUACAGUAACCCUUUAGUAAAAAAUUACACAUUGGAGAAAAAAAUAAAUUAUCUAAGGAAGUUGCAAUAUUUAGGCCAAGGUAGCGGACUUGGAGAAUUCUCACUCUUAGUUAGAUUUGGUAAUUUCUUUGAAAAUUCACCUUUGCAUUUACCAUGCAUUACUGUAAACCGCUUUGAUAACACAUCUUGCACUCAUAGGAUCAAAUCCCAACGGGAUUUCAAAAAUAAUUUACAACACAUUAAGUGAAUGACACCUUAUCACGUAGUACAAAAUCAACUCAUAUCAAAAACAUCCUCUAUUGUAUCUGACGCUUUAUAGGCUACAAUACUGUGGCAUUGUCAGAGAGUGAUGAGAGUUUACAAACCACACCUGGUUUAAUACAUUUGAGAGCCUGAUGACCAGACAACAGUUCCUUAUGAUAUAAUCUACUGU